rnacentral:rRNA from 1 species
GAUGAACGCUGGCGGCGUGCUUAACACAUGCAAGUCGAACGAACCUUCGGGUUAGUGGCGGACGGGUGAGUAACGCGUGAGAAUCUGCCCUCAGGAGGGGGAUAACGGCUGGAAACGGCCGCUAAUACCCCAUAUGCCGAGAGGUGAAAUGAAUUUCGCCUGAGGAUGAGCUCGCGUCUGAUUAGCUAGUUGGUGGGGUAAGAGCCUACCAAGGCUUCGAUCAGUAGCUGGUCUGAGAGGAUGAUCAGCCACACUGGGACUGAGACACGGCCCAGACUCCUACGGGAGGCAGCAGUGGGGAAUUUUCCGCAAUGGGCGAAAGCCUGACGGAGCAACGCCGCGUGAGGGAUGAAGGCCUCUGGGCUGUAAACCUCUUUUCUCAAGGAAGAAGACCUGACGGUACUUGAGGAAUAAGCCACGGCUAAUUCCGUGCCAGCAGCCGCGGUAAUACGGGAGUGGCAAGCGUUAUCCGGAAUUAUUGGGCGUAAAGCGUCCGCAGGCGGCCUUUUAAGUCUGUCGUUAAAGCGUGGAGCUUAACUCCAUUUAAGCGAUGGAAACUAGAAGGCUAGAGUGUGGUAGGGGCAGAGGGAAUUCCCGGUGUAGCGGUGAAAUGCGUAGAUAUCGGGAAGAACACCAGUGGCGAAGGCGCUCUGCUGGGCCAUAACUGACGCUCAUGGACGAAAGCCAGGGGAGCGAAAGGGAUUAGAUACCCCUGUAGUCCUGGCCGUAAACGAUGAACACUAGGUGUCGGGGGAAUCGACCCCCUCGGUGUCGUAGCCAACGCGUUAAGUGUUCCGCCUGGGGAGUACGCACGCAAGUGUGAAACUCAAAGGAAUUGACGGGGGCCCGCACAAGCGGUGGAGUAUGUGGUUUAAUUCGAUGCAACGCGAAGAACCUUACCAGGGUUUGACAUCCUGCGAAUCCCUUGGAAACGAGGGAGUGCCUUCGGGAGCGCAGAGACAGGUGGUGCAUGGCUGUCGUCAGCUCGUGUCGUGAGAUGUUGGGUUAAGUCCCGCAACGAGCGCAACCCACGUCGUUAGUUGCCAGCAUUCAGUUGGGCACUCUAGCGAGACCGCCGGUGAUAAACCGGAGGAAGGUGUGGAUGACGUCAAGUCAUCAUGCCCCUUACAUCCUGGGCUACACACGUACUACAAUGCUACGGACAAAGGGCAGCAAGCUCGCGAGAGUUAGCAAAUCCCAUAAACCGUGGCUCAGUUCAGAUCGUAGGCUGCAACUCGCCUACGUGAAGGAGGAAUCGCUAGUAAUCGCAGGUCAGCAUACUGCGGUGAAUACGUUCCCGGGCCUUGUACACACCGCCCGUCACACCAUGGAAGUUGGCCACGCCCGAAGUCGUUACUCCAACCCUUGUGGAGGAGGACGCCGAAGGUGGGGCUGAUGACUGGGGUGAAGUCGUAACAAGGUAGCCGUACCGGAAGGUGCGGCUGGAUCACCUCCUAA